GUGCUCAUUUCAGCAGCACAUGUACUAAAAUUAGACUGAUACAGAGAAGAUUAGCAUGGCCCCUGCACAAAGAUGACACACAAAUUCAUGAAGCAGUUCAUUAAAAA
ensembl:snRNA U6 U6 spliceosomal RNA